rnacentral:lncRNA from 1 species
CCUGUUUGUCAGCCUUUAAAAAUUUAAAGUAUUUGCUACAGAAUCAUUCGUCACCACAAAACAAUAAAAUAUUGUAUAUAUAAAACAAUAAUGUUUUCUUACUUUUUAACCACACAUUUUUCGAAAAAUACUUAUUCAAUAACUCAUUAUUCCAAAAUAAAUUCUAUCAAAGGCCAAUAAUGCGAUUAAGAUUUAAUUUUUAUUACAAUAAUGAGUCAAGACUUGUUCUCAACAAAAUCUUUGAGUGUAUGAUCGAACACCUCAAACAAUGUGGAAUCACGCUCCAAUUUGUGCAAAUAUGAACCGCACAAAACAACAUUACCAAAUCAACAACUUUUGCCCCCAAAGGAAAUCCUUCCCAUAAAGUAAUUAUAGGUUAAAUCUAAACGAAGAAAUUUUUGGAUUUAUAAUCUAUAUAUUUGUUUAUAACUAAAACACAGCUCAUUUCUAGAAAUAAGAGGUAACUAGUCAUUACCAAUGUAUUAAACAUUAAAAUAAUGCAAUGAUUUUACAAAAACAAUUAAUAUCAUAUUCAGGAAUUCUAGCAAUGACAUUUGCCAGAACCCAUUUUAAAAAGAAUAACAAAUAAAUAGUUCUACUAGUUCAUUAAAAGAAUUUUCUAAAUUUGUAUGCAUAAGACCCAUACCUUGUAAGUAGAGUAAUCAAGAAGUAACUUUUCCUAUGCCUCCCAUGCCAAGAUCACGAUUUCUUCCAGCCAUAUCAUUUUUUGCAACUCCAACUUUCAUAACAGUUUCCAAGUGGAGCACCAGGUGAUUUAUUUCUACCCAAGACUUCCCUUCCAAAAUUAGUAAAUUGCCAAGCCUCUUGAAAACGAAGAACUCCAGCACCAUUUUCUUCUGGCAAAGACAAAAAAAAAAAAAAAAAAAAAAAGGGAAAAAANNNNNNNNNNNNNNNNNNNNNNNNNNNNNNNNNNNNNNNNNNNNNNNNNNNNNNNNNNNNNNNNNNNNNNNNNNNNNNNNNNNNNNNNNNNNNNNNNNNNNNNNNNNNNNNNNNNNNNNNNNNNNNNNNNNNNNNNNNNNNNNNNNNNNNNNNNNNNNNNNNNNNNNNNNNNNNNNNNNNNNNNNNNNNNNNNNNNNNNNNNNNNNNNNNNNNNNNNNNNNNNNNNNNNNNNNNNNNNNNNNNNNNNNNNNNNNNNNNNNNNNNNNNNNNNNNNNNNNNNNNNNNNNNNNNNNNNNNNNNNNNNNNNNNNNNNNNNNNNNNNNNNNNNNNNNNNNNNNNNNNNNNNNUAAAAAAUAUAUAUAUAUAUAUAGAGAGAGAGAGAGAGAGAGAGAGAGAGAGAGAGAGAGAGAGAGAGAAUUUAGAUGUAUAGAUAUGGAAUAUUAUAGAAAAGUUAGAGAAAUAGAAACUAAAAUGUUAAUAGAAAAGGAUCAAGUAGACAUAGAAAUCAAGAUGGAAGAAACUAACAAGAGAGCUAAAAUGAAAACAAAUCAAAAACUUGGGAAAAGAAAAAAAUCCAUGAAUAAAGAACACGAUAUAUGAGGUAAAUAUCAUUUUUCCACUACAAGAGACUUUAUAUAUACCAAUGAAUUUCACAUUAAAAUCUACUUUUAGAUAGUAACAUAAUUUCAAAGACAUUCAUUAAAGAGGAAAAAAGUCGAGCAAAUUUGUGUAUAUGCCUAUUUUAUUACGUGAAUAGUGACAAAUACAUAUCUACUGAACAAAUAAAAGAUAUGAUACCUUUCCAUGUUUGAAUUACUUAGGAAGUAAGAAAUAGAGUAAUCUGUUUUGAUUUCCCAUUUUCUUACAGUAAGUUUUAAAAUAAACUCAUUUGCAUAGUUAUCAAUAUCGAAAUUUCAUAAAAUUUUAAGAAAAAGUAGAGAACGUCUUAUAAUAUGACAUAUCCAAAAUUUAGCUUCCAUUAGUGACACGAGGCAUUAAAAUAUUUCCCAAAAUCCUACUAACACUAAUUAAACAAGCUGUGCGAAUAAGGUUAUCUUGUGAUACUUGAUUAUCUUUGAGUGUACAUACCUUAAAAAAGUUACAGUUUAAUGUUUCGAUUUUCUCUUAAAUAAAAAUUAAACUAAAAAUGCUGAAAAUUUCCAAAUAUAAAUGUUCUACAUCAUGAAAUUCAAAUACCCUAAAAUAUAGAAGUAUAUAUGUGGACUAUUACACGACAUGCCAUUCAUUGAGAAUGUCUGAAGCUUCAGCAUAUUUUAUCAGUACGUCAAUUCUUGGAAUUCUCAAACCUCACUCACUUUCAAGCAUGGCGGACGGAGAAGCCACAACGCUAAGCUCGAUUUCUUCCGUCGGCCCAUUAUGAUUAUUUGCAGCUUCUUCUUCGUGGCUCUCCUCUUCAUUCAAGUGGGUCCUUCUCGGUCAAUACCUUCGAAACAGCUUAUGGAGGCCUAUUACUAUUAGUACUAAACCGGUCACAAGAAUGAUUUUAAUUGAGAGAGAGAUAUGGAUGACUGAUCGCAGGUUCAGCAAGUCCACGACUCUGUAAAUAAGGAAUUAUAUAUAGACAAAAAUCACAAAAGGAGCAUUGUAAAGGGGGGAAAACAAAAAUGUCUCUCUAUUGUUUUCAUAAUAUAACUUGACCUGUUAAAUCGUUAAUGGUAGAUCGUGAAUUCAUUAACACAUAAGAAAAUGCUGAACACAACCUUAUUCACUAAGUAUUGCUCACAAGAUAAUAACAAAGAAUCAAGUAUCCUACUAACACUAAUUAAACACAAAAUCUUUGAGUGUAUAAUCGAACACCUCAAACAAUGUACAAUCACGCUCCAAUUUGUGCAAAUAUGAACCAUACAAAAAUAUUACCAAAUCAACAACUUUUACCCCCAAAGGAAAUCCUUCCCAUAAAGUAAUUAUAGGUUAAUUCUAAACAAAGAAAUUUGUGGAUCUAUAGUCUAUAUAUUUGUUUAUAACUAAAACAUAGCUCAUUCUAGAAAUAAGAGGUAACUAGUCAUUACCAAUGUAUUAAACAUUAAAAUAAUGCAAUGAUUUUACAAAAACAAUUAAUAUCAUAUUCAGGAAUUCUAGCAAUGACAUUUGCCAGAACCCAUUUUAAAAAGAAUAACAAAUAAAUAGUUCUACUAAUUCAUUAUAAGAAUUUUCUAAUUUUGUAUACAUAGGACCUGUACCUUGUAAGUAGAGUAAUCGAGAAAUAACAUUUCCUAUGCCUCCCAUGCCAAGAUCACGAUUUCUUCCAGCUAUAUCAUUUUUUGCAACUCCAACUUUCAUAACAGUUUCCAAGUGGAGCACCAGGUGAUUCAUCUCUACACAAGACUUCCCUUCCAAAUUUAGUAAAUUGUCAAGCCCCUUGAAAACGAAGAACUCUAGCACCAUUUUCUUCUGGCAAAGACAAAAGAAUGGAACAAAAUUAGACCUGUAUCUGACUUCUCUUUCAAAGUUGUCGACAAAUUUUCAUUGAGAUCGACUAUACAUCUUUCCAAUGAACAUAUUGCGGUUUUGAGGAUAUACUCAUUUCAUUAACAUUAAAACCAAUAAAAUCAACUUAUUAAUUGAGUCCCAUUUUCUUUAUGACUUGACCAAAAAGGUUUCAAUUGGGAAUUUUAUAUUGCAGUUUCUUCAAAUUAAGAACAGAUCCAAGCUCUAUUUAUCCCAAAAAAAAAAUGAAAAUGAAAACAUAAAACAUAAAACAUACGAAUAUAAAUCAAAAUUUCUCUCCUCUAUUCAACAAUACAGAAGAAAUUCUUACCAGAUCCCUAACAUGGAAGUUGAACACAAUUAUAGAAACUAAAUUUGUAUAGAUCAGCAAUAGAUGCAUAAAUGGGUACCUAAUCGUCGGAUAUGAAGAGUAAAAUUGAAGCAUUAGACCGGUGGCGGCUUUGAAGAUAGAUUAGACCUUCAGGAGAGAGAAGUGGUCUCUUUUCUUCUUCUUCAGAUUUAGGGUUUCGUUCUCAUUUUAGCCUUUUUUAUAAGCAAAAUUCCCUCAGAAAAGGGUGAAGCAAGACGCGCUAACUACGUGAGAUAAUUAUAGCGAAAGUCCAUACUCUUUGCAAAAAGUGCAAAUAGAUCCAAAACUCCAUUAGUCUCCAAUAGCAUUUGGGUUGGAGUGAUGGAAAUUAAUCAUUAACAAUAACUAAUAAGUGAAUGUUUGAGAAAUUGAAUACGUAUAAAUAUUUUUAAUUAAAAAAUAAUUGUCGUUCGCUCGAACGAAUGUUUAUCAAAAACACCAUUUCCUAAAGUCGUAGGACCAUGUAUAUGGACUGACGUCUAUCCAAUGCCUGAAGAUCAAGAAAGUACCGAAGCACCGAUGCAUGGUAACUAUAAUUAUAACAAUCAUGAGAUAGCGAAAUUUCUUGUCAGAUAAAUUUUGACCCGUAGUCCACAUGUAAUUUUUCUAUUGAUAAUUUUUGUAUCUAAAGGUUGGAAGUUGUUUCAUAGGAUGAGCAUGUAGUGCUUGAGGAGUAAAUUUUAUUGUAAUUUCGUUAUAAAAAGUGAAGGCUUAAGCAUACUUUCAAACAAAAUAUUACAUCAUUCGCUAGUCUCGUACCUAUUUUGUAACCCCCAAUCCGCUAGUACGAAAGCGUCACUCAAACAAUUGUACCUUAACUUUAGACUUAGAAAUUAUUUAAAAUAAUAAUUUAAUUUAAGAAUUUAAUCUAAAAAAAUUCCUUAAGAACUAUAUAUAUAUAAUUACUAUCAAUGAAUUUCCCAUUAAAAUAUACUUUUAGAUAAUAACAUAAUAUUAACAUAAUUCCAAAAACAUUUAUUAAAAAAGAAAAGAGUCGAGCAAAUCCAUGCAUAUGCCUAUUUUAUUGCGUGAAUAGUGGCAAGUACGUAUCUAGCAAACAAAUAAAAGGCAUGAUAGUUUUCAAUGUGUGAACUACUUAGAAAGUAAGAAAGAGAGUAAUCUAUUUUGAUUUCCAUUUUUCGCACGGUAAGUUUUAAAAUAAACUUGUUUGCAUAAUUAUAAAUGUCAAAAUUUCAUAAAAUUUUAAGGAAACGUAUGAAAUAUCUUAUAAUAUGAUAUAUCCAAAAUUUGGCUUCCGUCGAUGACAUAUAAGGCGUUAAAAUAUUUCCCAAAAUUCCACUAACACUAACUAAACAAACUAUUUUCUUGUUUCUAUCUCGUAGGGUAAGUAUCAAAAUAAAUCCGUUCGCAUAGCUAUCGACCUCAAAAUUUCAUCAAAUUUAAUUGUAAAGUAGGAAACUCCUUAUAAUAUGACAUAAUCAAAAAUUAGUUUCCGUCGACGUCAUAUGAGGUAUUAAAAUAUUUUUCAAAAUCCAACAGCGACCUAGUUGAAAGGUAAAUCGGUGCAGUUCACUUAAAAUGAUAUAUAAAAUUCCACAGACAUCAAAACCACAUUAUUUCAUAUUUAUUCAAUAGUAAUCCAUGAGACUAUCAAAAUCCAAUUGGUUUCAUCUAUAAAUUCCAAGUAACGAUCGAAUUAUGAAUUUUUGAAGUCAAGGCAGAAACUGAAAUUUUUAAAAGACAGCACUACUUUAAUUUGCUAACACUUCUUUUUUGUUUCUAUCUUUUUGUAAAAGGUGUUUUGUAAAUUAACUUUUAUAACACAUAUCUACUUUUAAACAUAACUUAUUCAUGAAGAAAUAUUCUUAAAAUAGUUUCACAUAUAACGUCCAUAGAAAUCCAUAUUAAAAGAAACAAACGUAAACAUUUCAUGAUCGAAUUAAAAUUUUUAAAUCACCGACUUCCUCCAUAGCAUGUUGCAUCACCCUCUACCAUCAUCCAAGCCCCCAAGAAAAUCCAUUCAACUUGUGGGAAGUGAAUUAACUUAUGAGUUUGAAACUUAAUAGAUAUCAUCGAUGCAUUUCAUUAUCAAAUUAAAAAUUUCGAAUUAAAGGUUCAUUAUGUCGUACGUAUGGAUUUUUGGCAAAAUCUAAUUACUAUAAUAUUAUCAUAAUACGUAGAGCCGGAGAAUGAUCCUUUAAAUCGUUGUAGUGCCGAAACACCAUGUCCGAAGGUACCUUUUCAUUCAAACAUUUAUCGGAAAAAUCAUAAUUUGAAAACGAAAUAAACCCUUGCACUUCUAUUUACCUUGAAUUUUCUUGAAUAUAAUAGAACAAAAUGUGUAGAAAGCUUUUCUUUUUCUCACCCUUAUUAUUCUCUUAAACUUAACAUGAAAUAUAUUUUUUAGAGAAAAUAAGAGUAAAUUCGGAUGUGAUGAGGGCUGUACUGAAAAAGUGACAUUCCUCUUCUUGUAACAUUUAUUUUUAAUGAAAAAUUAAAUGGGGGUUGUAUUAUCAUUAAAUUUAUUAAAUUUUAUCUUUAACUAAGAAUUUGAAAUAUUUCUUAGCCAUAAAAAAUAAUUCAUAUAUAAAAAUUUAUAAAAACAUCUACAUGGUGAUUUGAAUCUGGAUUGCCUAUAUAAAAUAUCAUGUAAAUGACCAUUAACGCGACCUAGUUAUUCAUUAAAUUUUUGUAAUCAAAUUUACUUAAACUUAAUAUCUUAAAUUGUUGGAAUUUUAAUUAACUUAUGGUUUGGGCUUUCAUAAUCUUAAACAGGUUGAGUUUCCAUAGGUCAUUUCUUAAAUGCGCUAGGCUCGUGGUGCUAAAUCAUUACAAAAUAAUAGUCUAAUUUCAUUUUAUUUCUCGGGCUUCUACAUAUUUACUAUUAAUUUGGACGGAUCCGUCCUCUGAGACUUGCUUAGCUAAACGAAUGAUUAAGAAUGGUAGUGUCAAGCAGUGGUGGAGCCACGUUGAGAUGUGCCCGCACUGAAAUUUUAAGCCCAAACAAUUUUAUUAUUAUUAUUUUUUUCAAUAGGGUAGGUGGAAUAAAAACAUGUUUUAAUUCACAUGGGUUUUAUUUUUAGGCUAAAACCCAUGAUUUCGUUUUAUAGUUUUAUCAUCAUUAAAUUCAUGAUCAAAAUACAAUGUUUGACAAUGGGUUAAAUCAAGGGCGGACCCAGACCUUUAGUAUUGUGGGAUUAAAAUUUUAAAAAUAAUUUUUUUAAUAAACAAUAUAAUAUCAAUGAAAAUAAGUUUAUAUAUAUUUUGACAAUUUUAAAGCAUCGUAUAAUUACAUCAUUAUUAAUAUUAUUAAAUAAAUUUUGCUACUUAUAAAUUUUUGUUUAUCAUUUCAUUAGCAAAUGUUGAGCUAACAUUGAGUAAAUUAAAUAGAAUAUAGAAAUGAAAUGAAUUGAAAUAAAAUUCAAGUUUAGUUCAGGAAAUAAAUGAAAUUCAAAUUUAAAGCAAAUAUAAUUCUAAAGUAAUUCAGAUUGCAUUUAGUCCAUAACGAUCCUAAAAAAUUUACGUUAUAUUUCAUGUAAAACUUUCGAAUAAAAUGAUAUAAAUUAUAUUGAAAAAUUUAUUGUGCAAAAAUAAUAAUUAAUUGAAUUUAAAAAAAUGAGUUAGACAUCUUUUUUGAGGCAUACGUUUGAUACAUAUUUAACUAUUUUCGAUAUCCGUUUGGACUAUUCGAUAUGAAAACGAUCUAGUUUUCAAACAAACUUUUACAUGACAUAGACGAUUUGUGGAUUCAGAUAGCACAUGAUCGCAAACGAAUUUUUAAAGUUAGGAUAUUAUCAAAAUUCUCAAAAUACUAAUUUCAAACGUUCUAUUUUAACAUGUCAUAACUUUUAGUAUAGUUGACCCUUCGCAUGUCAUUAAUGAUUGAAAAAUUAGGCCAUAAACACUUCGAAAUGGUAUUAAGAAAACAAUAUUUUGACUUGACGAGUGCAUCAAAGUAGAUUGUUAAAAAGGGGGGGGGGGGCAAAAUUUUGUGGGGUCAUUUGACCCCAUAUGGGUCCGACCCUGGGUUAAAUUAUGCCCGCACUGAAAAUAUUUUCUAACUCCGCCCUUGGUGUCAAGAUUUGAAGGUUAGAGGCAUUUACACAUUUUACAAAUAUUAUAGUUCAUUUUGAAAUUUCCGUAAUUGUUUAUUGUUUUUGUUUCUUCUCUUCUUUGAUAGCUUAAAACAACCAUGCUGUGCGUAUUAACAUUGUAUAAUAGUAUUCAUCUUAAAAUAAUACUUAUAGACGAAUUCCUUACAAAUUGAUAAUCUAUAGGCAUAAAGUUUCCGCAAUCUUUCUGGCCACGAAUAACACCGAUAUGCAGACAUUGCAUUUAGAUUUUAGUGAAGGAACUUUUUAUUGAAAAUAAUUAUUAAAUCAGUAAAUCUGUGAGAAAAUUGAAUAUGUAUAAUUAUUAUGAAUGGGAAAAUUUUCUUCUCGACAGUCCGCUUUAUCUUAAACUGUUAGAUCUGUAGGUGGGGAGUUGUUUGCUAGCAAAUAUACAGACUUGGUGCCAAUAGAAAGAAGAUUGGCGUUUAAUUAUAAUUUCUUAAUUAAAAGUGAAGGGAUAUGUGACCUUUUAAUUAAAAAAUUUACGUCAUGCACUAGUCAGGUACUUAUUUACUAUUGAGUUUGGAUGAAUUCCAUCCAUUGAUUCUUGUCCAUGUACGUGUACAAAAGAUUAAGGAUGGAACUGUCAAGAUUUAAAGGUUAGAUAAAUUUAAGUUUUUGCAAAUAUAAGGGACCCUUUUGCAAUUUCCCAGUAGUUUAUUACUUUUGUUUCUCUCCUUUUUUCCCCUGUCAUUGUCGGUAAACUCGUUUAUCUAACCUGUUUGGUUUGGAUUUAAAUUAAAUUAAAAAAAAUAAAAUCAACAAUUAAUUUCGAGCUUGCAUUUCAUCAAAUUCUAUCAAAAAUUAUGAAAAAACUAAUUUUAAUUUACAUCACAUGAACCUAGCAAUAUUAUUUAUUUUAUUUACCAAUGAUCACCAAUCUAAUGAUAAUUAUCUCAUUGUCACAUUAAUGGUUACAGCAAGUGAUACGAAUAUCACUCUUUACUUGAUUCAAAUUUGAGGUCAUAUAAAGCCAAAAUAAUUUUAGACUCAAUUUACACUUUUGUACUAAAAAUGACGGUAUAAUUUAGAAUAAUGCUAUGUAGCAUUAUUGCUAUUUAACACGAAUUUACUUGAAGACACAUGUAACAUUAAUUAUAGGUUCAAUUAAAAAUAAUGAGAGUGAUGAGUAAUUUAAUUAGACAUAUAAUUUAAUGUCAUUAUUAGUAUUAAAUACAGUAUUGCUAAUAUACUAAACAAUAGCAAAAGUCAAGUGCAGCAUUUCUUAGCAUUAUAGUUUUAUUAAAAUAAUAAAAGAAUAUGAGUAAAGCAGGAGAACAAUUAGGAGUGGAUUGAAAAAACAACGAAAACAAAAAAAUCAACUAGAUCAAAUCAAAGAGAGUUGGUUUGGAUCAAUUUGAAUCACAAUAUCUAUUUGGUUCAGUUAAUUUUAACCAUUGAAAAUCUAGAACUCAAUUAAUCGAUCAAAUAUGUUCAUACAUUUUUUUUCUUUUUUGUUUUAAAAUUCAAAUUUUUAGAAAAACAAAAAUAUAAUUUUUUUUCCAAAUAAUUUGUCUACUAUUCCUCUCCUACCAAAACUUGUAAUUCCUAAAGAAAAGAAAAGUAAGGAUAAUACUUGUUUAUUGUAAACUCAAAUUUAGAUUGUAGAUUUGCUUUCAUUUUGGUGUAAUUGUUUGUUGGUAAGUUAUUAGAUAUAUGGAAUGAUUUUGGAAAAAUUGACCAUUACUAGUGUUUAACGUGCAUGUGUGUGAAAAAUUUAAUGAGCAUUGAUAGUUAUCUUACGUUAAGCAUUGAUGACGUGUCAUAUAAAUUUAUUAAUGGAUAAAAUUAUGUUGGGCUUCAAUAUUUGAAUUAAAUUUAAAAUUCACCAAUAAAUUUAUAUGACUCGUCAUCUGUGCUUAAUAUAAGAUGAACACCGGUACUCAUUAGAUCAUUUUAUGUUAUGUGUGUAUCUAUAUUUUGAUUCGAAUUAAUGUUCAAACUUGUUCGGAUCUAUUUCAAUUGUUGGAUUAUAUCAAUUUGGGUUCAAAUUUAUCCAUAUCAUGACCAAGUCAAAUUCGAUUAACGUUGGGCCCAAAAACCAACCCAACCCUAACUAUACUCAGGUUUAUAAACUACCACUCUACAUUGAUGUCAUUUUUCUGGUGGAGACUAUUAAAAAGGUUCUUGGUUUGAUGCUCCAAAAAAUAAUUAGUAGUAGAAUUUUACAAUAUAAAUACUAUUGAUUAAUAUUAAUGUCAAAUAUUAAGUAACUUAGUAAAUAAUAUUAUCAAUUUUUAUAUGCUAGAUUUUUACUUAAUAAUUGAAAUGUCAAAAGCAAUGUAAUAAAAUAAACGAAUAUUAUAGAAAAUAAAACAUUCCUAUUUUAACUAUACAUUCUACAAAAAAUAACUUUUCAUAAAAUAACUUCUCAAAAAUAAAAAUCAGACAAUACCAAAUAAUCCUUGAAAGAUCAUGCAAUUCUCAUGUCUUAUUUUUUUAAGGGAAAAUUACCUAGAAACAUGCAUUUAAAGACCAAUUUUCAAAAAAAACAAGAAGAUUAAAUUACAUUUCACAAAUCAGGUGAUAAUUCGUUUUUAAUAAUUAUAUUAUAAAAUUAAUUAAUUUACCAAAUCUCACACCAACCCAAACCCAUUCUCACUCUAAUCUCUUUCUCACCGUCUUUUCUUUCUCUUUCUUUAUUGGAGCAGCGACAGCGCCUCUAAUGAUCGAAGAGCGGCGAUUUGUGCUUCGACGACUCUUUCUACUCUCUUCUCUUCACAUAUUCCAUCUUCUUUCUUACUAUGGAGGGGGACCGGCGUCACUAGAUCGAUGCAGUUGAGCGUUCGUCUCUUACUUGCAACGACAUCGACUACGAGAUCGGCAAAGUUGAGCGUUCUUCGCUCAUUUUCGUCUUUCUCGUUGUUCGAAUCAAUUGGCUUUGUUUUCUCUUUUCUUUUGAUUUUGUGGUGGCCGGAGUUUUUGAGUAGAUUUGCGGUAGCGGUGACAGUAGCUUGUUUAGGAACUUUGUUGUUCAACUUGCAAUUUCAGAUUUGAGUUUGAUUUCUCGGCUCCGCUGGCCGACAGUGGCGCGCCGCCGAGGUCCAUGAGCUCAGCCAAUGAAUUGUUCUUGAAUGGCCAGAUUCGACAACGUGUGAAUCUGGGUCUGCAUCGAGGUCUUGUAUAGAAGUAAAAGUGAAGGUAGAAAAAACAAGCAUAAAUUCUGGGGUCCUUAUCAUUUUCACCUGUCAAAGACAAGAAAAUGGAGAAGCCCAUUCCCAACCCCAAAAACUCAUCAACUAAGAAAACUAAAAAUGCUGCAAAUUCAAUAGCAGAAGUAGUAAAUUCCAACAUUGGAGCCACACAAAAAAGUUACGAAAUAGGUGAAAAACAGGGCAGUAAAUGGGAUUGGUAAAAGAAGGGUGUCUCUGUCUCCUCAUGAAUUGCUUUACACCGUAAAUAGGGCAUAGGCAGAGGAGAUGAGGAAGAAGACAUUUUUGCCUUAUACACAAUUGUUGGGUUGUUUACUUUAGGAUUCAGUUCAAAGGACUAUGGUGCCAUGAAUGGUUUUGCUAGAGCUUUGAACUCUGUGUCAUUAAGGUAAAAAAUGAAUUUUCAAGAAAAUGUGUUGAUUUCUUGAACAUGGGGUUCUUAAGUGCUAGAUUUGUAUAGAAUAUAUUUUAUUUUCUAAAUUUUGUUCAUGUUUUUUGGUGCUUAUGUGUUUGCAUUUAUUCAUUAUUAUUAUUAUUAGCAGCUUUGCAUGGAGAAAGAGAAAUGAUUUCUGUUGAUUCUGUAAAAUAUAUUUCGAGAAAUUUACUCAGUAUCACUAGCUGCUGUUGUGGUGUGGUGUUGGUGGAGGAAAGACGAUACCGGUGAUGGUGUCGGUGGUGUUACCAUUUAUAUGUUAAUUGUAACCCUGUGAUUAAGUCUGUCUUAAUUGUGACCAGUUCUGAUCAAGUCUGUAUUCACAAUGACUACAUGUGACCAAAUUCAUCUGAAGUGUGACUGGUUGAGACUAGGUCAUUCCAUGUGAUCAAAUUAAAUAUGACUUGGUCACAUAGAGUUACAGAAAGUCACAUUGAAGACAAAUUUGGUCACAAAUUAUAAUUAUGUAUAUGUGAUGUGGCUGUAUGUGACUUGAUUACAUACAAGAACAAAUUAAAUUGAUAUGAUUAUAAAUAGUCACAUUGAAGACAAAUUUGGUAAUGAACAAAUAAGGUCACAUUUCAUACGUUAUGUUAUAAAUCACAGGAACGAUUCACGGGUCAAAAUUCAAAUUCAUAUAUUAUAAUAUGCAUAGGUCACAGAUCCAAUAGAAAUGGUCACAAGUCAUUGCAAAAAAAAGUUGUGACCUAUAAAUUUUUCGAAUUUGUGAUUGAUGAAUAAAUUGUGACCUAUUAAAAUUUUUAUUAGUGACCGAGAAAUAAUUUGUAACCCAUAAAAUUUUUUAUUUGUAACCAAAAUAAUUUGUAACCAAUUAAUUCGAUAAUCUGUGACCAAAUUAUAUAGAUUUGUGAAUUUAAUAUAUUUAAUUAAAAAAUAUUUUUUUGAUUAAUUAUUUCAUAACUAAAAUUUUAAUAGUAUCUUGAUUUAUGAAACUUCAAACUUUAUUUCUUAAUUUUGAAAUUGAUCAUAUGUAUAUUCAUCUCAUCUGAUUAGGUCAUAGAUUCAAAAAAAAUGGUCACAGAUCACAAUAUGCACAUGUCAUAGAUCCAAUGGAACUGGUCAUAGGCCAUUGUCAAAAAUGGAAAAAAAAAAAGGAAGUUGUCAGAGAAGCGAGCGAUCACCGGAAUAGUUAUUGGAGCGAUCAUCGGAAUGGUCUCUAGCGCCGGCGCCAGUGUCGAUCGCCGGAGGUGGGUGGGUGGAGAGAGAAAGAAAAGGUUUUAAUGUGAUGAGUGAGUAGGUUGGAGGUGAGUGGGGUAGAUAGAUUAAUCAUACUAUAUUAUAAUUAAAUUCACCUGAUUUUUGAAAUUUUUAACAACUUUGUUAGUUUUGAAAUGUGAUUUUUAAAUGAAGGAGUCAUGUGUUGUUCCCUUUUUUUUAAGGGUAUAAAUAUUACACUUUCAAGGGAAUGGCAUAAUAAAGUGCCGACAUGUAGGCCUAAAUGUCUCGAGUAGGAUAAUAAUUGGACUAACAAUAGUGGAUACACAUGGGCCUACUAUUUGACUAAAGAUACUAGUAAAAAAAUCAAUAGCAAUAGAACAUCGUUGACAUGAUUAUCACUAACCCACAUGCUAAAAUAAAUAGAAGAAAAAGGAGAGAGAAAAAUAGAGAGAUAUAGAACUUACUCUUGGAUCGUUAUUAAAAAAAAUAAUAUUGUCUAUUUUUAAAAUGAUGUAAGAUAAUACAUCAAAUAUAUUACGAGUUUUUUAACUCCGCCAUCAUAUUUUCAUUUGGCAACUGAUACAAGGCUCCUAACUUCGCUCAAUUACAAUCAUCAACUAUUGAUAUCCUGCCAUCAGUAUUCUUCCAUUGAUUCAUACCUCGGGUCAUGCCUACCAUGACGCCUGAAAUCUCAGCAUUGAUUGAAAGUUUCUUGUAUUUAACAUCUUUUAAGAUUUUUUGCUCUAUUUUUUAUGUACAUAACCUUCAAUAACCAUAUCAAUAUUAAUUUUUUCAAUUUUAAGAAUAUCAGUGGAAUUUUUCUAUGAAAGUAAUAAUUAGUAGCGUGUUUUGGCAUUAAAUCGAUGGUUUACUGAACUAGUCUAUCAAGAAGUGUUUGGCAAAGUCUUCAAGAAAGACAUCUGUUACCUCUCGUCACACGUGACUCUAUGUAGCCUACCCACUCACAUCGAAGAACCACCUCCACAGAAGCUGUCUACCAAUUCAACUAAAACUCUUCUAAGGCUUGAAGAAGACAAAAAUACACUUUUGGAGAACAAAAUUUGUGGGUGGAAGAAAAGCAUAUAACCAUUAAGAUCAAAGAGCAAAAACUUGGGUUUGAAGACUUUUGAGGCUGAAGAAGAUUCUUGGUGCAAGAAUCAACUCUUUCCAUGAUCAAGAUUUCAAAACACGGUUAUGAACUCUAUACUUUUUAUUUUUCUUUCAUUAUUAUGAGUAGCUAAGUUCAUAGCUAGGGCAAAUAAUAUAAUCUAUGUGUGACAUUUUAUUUAUUUUAUUCAAGAUUUUUGUUUUUAUUAUUUUACAUUUGCUAAUUUUACUAUGAGUAUAAUACAUUGAAUUACUUGCUCCCUAAUUUGAUAAUUUUGUGAAUAUUUUAAGAAUCAAGUCUGAGUUUAAGAUUUAGACCAUAUCUAAAAUUCGGAAAAUUAGUAUAAUGUGUAGAGAUACCUAUACUGAUUAUCGCAGUCUUAGAUGAAUCCUUGGAACUAAAAUUUCAUUUUAACUAAAAUUGAUUCGUAUAGAGAUAUGAAAUUAAAUUAGUUAAAUAAGCUCAAUGAGAACUCGAGAAGGGUAAAUUGACUACUUAGAAGAAUUCGGUUAAACACGAUAAUUGUAAUGAAUCUUGAUUAGCGAAUUAAAGGGGAGCCAUAUGUAAAAUUGUAUGUCCUAGCAUUCAUAUUCAUACUUUUAAAACCCAAAUUUGAUAAAUUGUUAAUGUUAGAUAAUUUGGAUACCAAUCACAAAACUACUUUAUUUGUUUUCAAUCAAAUUCAAGUUGCAAAGAAUUGAAUCAAACGUUAAAUAGUAGUCCUCAUAGGAACGAUGUCCGAACUCUUAGGUUCACUUAUUACUUGUUAUAAUCUAUACACUUGCGGAAUAUAAAAUCGACAAAAAGUUUUUGGCGCCGUUAUGGGGGACUAUUUUUAAUUAAUAUUGGUUUUAAUUACUUCUUGCUUUUGUCUGAUUUUGUUUGAUUUUUUGUCCUUUUUUUUUCAAUUGAUCUACUUGUUUUCUUUGCUCCAUUGAUAGGGAAUAAAAAGAAGCAAAAUGUCAAAAAACUUUCACAAUGAUUUAUCCCGACUUAAAUGAAGGUGACAUGCUCUUUAGAGAAUUUCUCUUUAAACAAGAACUUAAAAAGUGAAGAUACAAUCAACCUAUUGAAUUUGAUAAGUAUGGCUUCCCUAAGGAACUAAAUAUCAAAUCUAUUGUUUAUGGGUAGAUUAGACCACUUGUUAAUAUUAUAGUGUAUUUCAUUAUACUAAAAAUUGCUUGUUAUUGGCAACUUGAUUGUCCAUAUGAAGACCAAUUUUAUUAUAGUGAAAUAGUUACGGAAGACAUCAUCGUGGAAAAAGAUGAAAGGAUUGAAAAUCAAAUAAUUUCAGACAAGCCAAUUAACAUGCUAAUUGAUGAUCUCUUUAUUACUCAACCCGAUGAACCAACGAAAAAAGAAGAACGUGUAGAAACAAAUAAAUUAAUCAUGAAGGAGCCAAAUGAAUUGGUGGCAUUCAAAGAAGAUGGAAUUAGCAUAAAAACAUCUAACUUCAUUGAUUUUGUGAUUAAAGUCAUUGAGACAAUUGAAGUACUCUUAGUUGAAUUCGAAUUGAGCAAUUCAGGCAAGUCAUACCGUAUUCAAAAUGACAAAGUAGGAUUUUGGAGGACGUGAAAUAUGGAACAAAGGCAAAUUAAGCAAGCUAAGUGGAGUCUCCAAAGCCAUAUUUAAAGUGCCAUGAAGCACUUAUACAAAAGUCUAGCUAAAGACUUUUAAAUUGAGCGCUUAUUAAGAGGCAACCCAAUUUCUUACCCUUUUAUUUAUUAUGCAUAUGUAUUUGAAUUGCAUAUAAUAUAUUGUGGUGCAUUAGUUUUAGGCAUGCUUUGUUUCAACAAAAGGGUCAUCAUAUCUAGAUAAGUCUAUUUGAAUUGCAUAUAAUUUAUCGUAUUUAAAGACAUUGAGGACAAUAUCUACUUUAAGUUUGGGGGUGGAAAAAUAUUGAGUUUUUAGUUUUUACUAUUCUUGUGUGAUCGUGUGUUUGUACUUCUUUAUAAUAUAAAAAAAAUUAAAAAGAUUGUUAAAGAAAUUUAAAAAUUUCAAUAAGAUUUUCUUGUUUAUUGUGUGUUUGUAUGGAUUAGGUAGCAUUAUCGACAUUAGAUUAUAUGAUUCUUAUCCAUGUAGAACUUGAUACUGUUUGCUCACAUGAAUUAAAUUCAGCAUUAUAAAGUAAAAAGUUGAUUCACAUACUUGAUAGAUUGAAGAAUAGAACAUAGAUGCUAAAUCCAAAAGUUACUACAACAUAUAUCCUUCGACCAAAUUUAGAAUGGUUUGGAGAUGAUUUUACUGUUGUAGGGAGAUAUGUAUAUAAAUGGGGAUUCCCUGUGUAUAAAUUCUUGUGUGGAUUGUCUAAGACCAAUAUGAUAAAUAUUAUUUGAAAAUCUUAAAUUAAGGUCAAUUUUUGAGAAUUGAUGUUUAAUGAGGGGCAUAGCAUUAAUCAUGUAAAAAAAAUGCAAUAAAUAAAUAAAUAAUAAUAAUGAAAAGAUAAAAAAAGAAAUAGAAAAAGAAAAGAGAAAAAAAGCUUUAAUGAUCUAUUGUGCGUUCGUCUUCUUUUCUUCUCAUUAGUUUUGAUGCAUUUUUUUAACCAUUAUGUUUAGUUUAUUUAUAUAGAAUGUUUUUUUCCUUACAAUUUUAUUUUUUUAAAUUGUUUUUCUUUCUUUCUUUUAGGUGAUGCUAAUCAACAUUUUGAAUCAGGAGAUGCUAAUGUUAGUGUUGAAUAUACAUAACAAAUUGAUAAAGGAAGAAUUCCUGAUCGACCUUAUGUCUUGCUAUCUUCUAAAAUUUGUGGUCAUUGUGGUGCAACAAAAUUCUACAGAGAAAAUAAAGGCUUUUGUUAUUGUAAUGGAAAAGUCAAAUUACAGUUACAUGAUAUGCCUCGUAAAAUGUAUGAUUUAUUUGCUUCUACAUCUAAAAAAGUCACAGCUUUUAAAAAAGUUGUUCACAGUUACAACAAUCAUUUUGCAUUCAUUUCGUUCGGUGUUAAGUAUGAUAAAGAAUUGUGUAAGAAUAAUAAUGGUAUAUAUACUUUCAGAGUUCAAGGAUAAGUAUACCAUUUCAUAAACUCACUUGUAUCGAUAGAUGAGAAUCCAAUAUAUUUUUAGUUAUACUUCUAUGAUACUGAAAAUGAAAUUUGUAAUAGAUCGACUCAAUACCUCGGACAAGUUUUGUGAGUUCACUUUAAGAAAGUUGAUAGAUUUUCUGAACAAAAAUCCAUAUUCAAAGUUUUUUCGAUCAUUAAAUAAAGUUACUGAUUUAGAAUCAUGUCGUAUUUUACUGAGGUCUGAUCCUUGUCUUGAUUAAAGAAUAUAUAACUUGCCAACAUCAGAACAAGUGGCUGUAGUUUGGGUUGACGAUGACCUAUCUGCAAAUACUAGAGGUCGGGAUUUAUUAAUUUAUGGACAUUCACAUAAUGCAUAUAAAGUUCAAUACUAUUAUGAUUGUUAUGAUCCUCUUCAAUAUCCACUACUUUUUUCGAAUGGAGAACCUGUAUGGCGUGAAGAUAUUCAGAAGUUAAAUGUAAGUGUUUCACAAGCUCCGAUUUGUCAGAAUUUAAUAGAAGUUAAUCAUGUCGAUUCUGCGGAUCAACUCUUGGAAGUAGAAGACUAUGGUAAACUUUAUCGAUUAUAGUAAUUUCUAUUUUUUUAACUGAAUGUAUUUAUCUUAUUGAUUACAUUUAGUGAAUGAAGUUUUUGUUGAUAUAUGUUUUUCUUUCUUGCAGUUUUAAAAGGAAAGAAUAGAUGAAUAACUGUAUUAUAUUGAGAAUAUUAUUGUUACAAGCUUCAGAUCAAGUGUGUAAACAAUUGUAAUUGUAUUCUUCUACAUACUGACAGACUUUUACAACAGCUUGUAGUGAAUAUGUAUGUUAAAAUUGAAACAGCAAGAUUGGACCACUUUCGUAAUAACCAAAAGAUUAUAAGAGGUUAACCAUAUCAGGGAAUUGUAGACAUUGUACAAAAUGGUGAGAAUAGAGGUUAUAAAAUUGGUAGAUCGUUAGUGUUGCCUUCUAGCUUUGUUGGGGAUCCUAGAAAUAUGACUAAAAGAUAUAUGGAUGCAAAGUUUUUAGUUCAGAGAUAUGGUAAACCUGAUGUAUUUUUGACAAUUACAUAUAAUCCAAAUUGGCCUGAAGUAAAAUGUGAAUUGAAACACAAUGACAAAAUACAUAAUAAUACAUAAUAUACCAGAUUUGUUAGUACGAAUAUUUCGUGCCAGAUUUGAGGAAUUAAAGACAGAUUUGGUUAAGAGAAAGUUGUUGGGUCCUAUAACUACAUAUGUUUAUGUGAUCGAAUUCCAGAAAAGAGGAUUACCUCACGCUCAUUUUUUCCUAAUAUUUAAACGAAAUUCUAAGAUUCAAAACUGUGUACAAGUCGAUGGAAUUAUCUCAUCUGAAAUACCGAAAAAAAAUAAAUAUCCUUACUUGCAUGCUACUGUUGUAAAUCAUAUGAUACUCGGUUCUUAUGAGAAUUUGAAUCCUAGAAUGUUUGUAUAGAAAAGAUUUCUGUAUGUAAAAAUAAGUAUCCAAGAUAUUACAUUGAAAAUACUUUGUAAGGUAAUGAUUCCUACCCGCUUUACAAGCGUUGCAAUGAUGGUGUAAGUGUUAAAGUAAGAUGUUGUAUGUUGGACAAUAAAUGGGUUGUAUCAUAUAAUCCUUACGUUUAAGCUAAAUAUGACUGUCACAUUAUUGUAGAAAUAUGUUCUUCUGUUAAGGCUGUUAAAUAUCUAUAUAAGUAUGUAUAUAAGAGACAUAACUGCAUUCAUUUUACUUUAAAUAAAGAAACAAAUGAACAAUUCGUUGAUAAGAUUUCAAACUACCAAACAGUUAGAUGGAUAUCUCCACCUGAAACUAUAUGGAAGAUAUUUAGUUUUGAUUUAUUCGAUAUAUCUUGUACAAUAAUCUCUUUACAGUUACAUACUAAAGAUGCUCAAACAGUUACAUACAAUGAGACAGAUGAUUUAUCAAAAGUUAUAAAUAAAGACUUUGUUCACCGAACAAUGUUAACAGAAUUCUUUAGAAUGAAUAUUUCAAAUGAAAAGAGAAAAAUUCUACUAUAUAAAAAAUUUCCAACCUAUUUUGUAUGGGAUGCAUCCAUGCGAAUUUGGAGUCCCAGAAAAAGCAAGGAUGUUAUUGGUACAAUAGUCGCACUAAUCCAUAUGAGGGUAGGAGGUAUUUUUUAAGAGUUUGACUUAAUCAUAUUAGAGGACCAAAAUAUUUUUUGAAGAUUUAAAAAUAGUCAAUAGUGUUGUUCUAUCUACUUAUUGUGAAGCAGCACUUUCACAUGAUCUUCUUUGUAGAAAUAGCUAUUCUAAAAUGUGUUUAUUUGAAGCAGUCGCUUACCAAAUACCCAUAUCAUUACAGUGACUUUUUGCCAAUAUGUUGAGUUUAUGUUGCCUACAAAUCCAAGGAAUUUAUGGGACAAGUUUAAAGGUUUUAUGAUAGAAGAUUAUUUACAUAAAGGUUUGACACAACAAGGUACUGAGAUGAAAGCUUUACACUGUAUAAAUUCUUUUUUAGAAGGUGCUGGUAAGAAUAUAAUUGAUUUUUGUUUGGUAAAUUUUGAUUUAAGUUUGAAUGAUGAUGAUAUCUUUGAACCAUGAUUGUUGAAGAAACAACCAAUAUUAAUUUUCAGUCAGACAUACAUUACACUGAGAGUUUAAAUAAAAAGCAACAAGAUGCCUAUGAUAUUAUUUUGGAUUGUGUUUUAAGUAAUAAGAAUGGAAUGUUUUUUAUCGAUGGCCCAAGAGAUAUUGGAAAAACGUAUUUGUACAAAGCAUUACCAUCUAGUGAUGAUCUCGAAAUCUUAUCGUAUUAGCAACAACAUCAUCAGGUGUAGCUGCAUUUUUAUUACCAGUUGGUCAAAUAGGAAAUUCAAAAUUCAAAAUUUUGCUUCAAAUAAGUUCUAAUAUGCGCUGUUCUAUGAGUAAACAAUAUGCCCUUGGUAAACUUUUAGCAUUGGCUAGACUAAUAAUUUGGGAUGAAACAUCAAUGGUUCAUAAAUAUGCUUUUGAGGCUUUAGAUAAAAUGUUAAGAGACAUUAUUGAAUGUCAAUUACUGUUUGAUGGAAAAGUAAUUGUGUGUGGAGGAGAUUUCCGUCAGGUUUUACCAAUAGUACAGAGAGGAACAAAAGACGAUAUAAUAAAGUGAAGUUUAGUUUUUUCACAUUUAUAGCAUUCUUUUACACAGCUACCACUAGUUGAAAAUAUGAGAGCUAAAUUAGUCCUUCAUUUUAUGAAUAUUUGUUGAACAUUGGGAAUGGAAUUGAGAUAAUAUAUUCAUGCCAAAUGAUUACAAUUCUGGAAGAUAUUACCAUCAAUUUUGAAGAUGAAUUUAAAUCACUGAAGGAAUUAAUUGACAUUGUGUUUCCUAAUUUCCAAAUAUAUGGAGACAACCUAAAUAUUAUGAUGAAUAGAAUUAUUUUAACCCCAAAAAAUGAAUGUGUAGAUUUAAUAAAUAGUAUGUUACUUAAACGAAUUUCGCGAGAGAAAGUUACAUAUUUUAGUUUUAGUGAAGUUAUUGAUAAAAGUGAAGAAUUUAUUGAUGAAUAUUUUUUGAAUAAUCUAGCUCCAAACGGUAUACCUCCACAUGAAUUCAUAUUGAAAAAAAAAAUUGUCCAAUUAUAUUGCUUAGAAAUAUUAAUCAUGUAGAAGGUUUAUGCAAUGGGACUAAACUUAUUUGUCCGUGACUUUAAGCAAAAUGUUAUUCUGACUGAAAUUGAAACAGGAGAAUAUUGUGGAAAGCAAGUAAUUUUACCUAAAAUUCUACUCAUUCCACUUGAAGGCGAUAAACAGUUUGUACCAUUUAAAAGAACUCAGUUUUCACUCCGUCCUUGUUUUGCAAUGACCAUUAACAAAGCUCAAAGUCAAACUCUAAAUUUUGUUGAAUUAUAUCUUCUAGAACCCGUAGUUUUCCAUGGUUAAUUGUAUGUUGCAUUGUCCCGAGCUAGAACAAGGGAAAAUGUAAAAGUUUUGAUCAAACCUUUUGUCUAAAAAAAAAAUCACAUAUUUCUUGUAUCAAAAAUAUUGUCUAUCAUGAAAUCUUGAAUUUAGUUCACGAUAAAAAACUUACUAGAAUCUUCAAGCAGAUUACACAGCUUAAAUUCAAUUUUAAGGUAUAUUCUUAAUUGUUUGUUAUAAGUCUUUAUAGAUUAUAUUGGUUAAAUAAUAGACACACACAAAAUUAAUAAGAAAUCUUGACAUAUGGCUUGUGACUGUCCAUGAUGAAAUGUUGAUUUUGCACAAUGGUAUCUUUGUCUUUUUUGUAGAAGGAGUUCUAAAGUUAUUCCUUCAAAAAAUAUACUAAUUAAUAGUCCUACUGUUGUGAAUCUACUUAAUCAUGUGCAGCAAAAAUAAAAACGGAUUUCGAUUUCCACCAAGGAUCUUUCUGCGUUUAGAUAGAAAUUGUGAUAGAAAAUUGUACCUUUGAGAAAUUCUGCAAACUUUUUGCUUUUCUUCUUGUUCCAGCAACUUCGAUUUGUCACCCGUAGCUAUCUGAUUGUGACAAGCAUACGUGUGAAUUAAAUUUAUUAGGGAAAUAUAUGAAAGGUUGUAUUUUCAAGGCCAUGCAUACUUUUAUCAUAAUUUAUAUUGAGUUUGUGGUUUGAAAUUGUGAGUGUGAAGUCCAUUAUAGAUCUACCGUACUAUUGUGUCCGGACAAAUACAAAAUUUGAGGCUUUUGUCGAUCAUUAAAGGUUGUCUACAGAAUAGGGCUUUUGAAAUUCAGCACCUAUAUACAGGCAAUGUUAAGGGGUUAUUUUGUAUAACUACUUAACACAAUUUUUUUUUUACCUACGUUAGUACUUAGCCAACUGUACUAUGACACGUGCCAUGCACGUGCAUUUCACUAGUAAUUAUAGAAAAGUCUUAUGUACAUAAAAAAAAAAAAAAAGAGGGAAAACGAAUACAAUGUAACUAUUAAGUUAGAAUUAGAUUUUUUAUCCCGAUUUAUUCAGUUUCACCCAAUUUCUAACUGUUGACUACCUCUCCAUAGAAUAGUCCUCUAGAGGAUAACAUGAAAAUUUUAUCUUCUUAUUAUACUUCUCGUUUGAGGACAUUUUACAAUGAGUUUGUUCAAGUCUUGCUUUCCUGUCACGGAUUUUAUUGCUAGAGCCAGGAGUAUUUUGCUAUAAACAACCAACAAUAGCUUUCAUAUUUGAUUCUCAAUCACCCAUUCUAUUCAACAUGUUGUUCUAUUCAUCAAUGUAAGAUCUCACUUAAGUUAAACAAAAUACGUUUAAUUGGAUAUGAUGGUAUAAUUGCUACCAUAUAACUAGAAAGAAUUCACAAUGGCAUUUAUUUAGCUGGUGAAUUGGAACAAUUCUUCGACAAUCACAAUUUACAAGAUGAUUAUAUUAUUGUGUUCGAAUAUAUUAGAAAUUUUACAUUCAAUAUUUGACGAUUCACAAUUAGAAGUAACUUAUGAUACAUACCACUCCGACUUCGAAGUUGUUGAAGAAGAGACAUUCAAUACAAGAAAUCCUGUCUUUAGGCUAACAUUCAAACAUAAUGAAGGUUGCAAAAUUGUAAGUUUUCAUUUUACUCAUGCUUCUACAAUUUUAAAUUCCUUGUUUCGCUCAUUUUUAUUUUACUUUUUAGCAUGUACCUUCAAGAUUCAGUGGAUAACAUCUACCCAAAUUUAUACGAAGUGUUCGAAUCCAUGACUGUUCGCAUUGUACUUGGACUAUUUCUACGAGUUUUACAACAAAUGGUAACGUAUGAUGUUUUACUACAGGUUGGUCACAAUAUGCUAAAGAGAAACAACUUCAAAAUAGGUGACACAUACAUGUUUGAGCUGCAAUAACGAACUGUCAAUGUUCAUGGUACACAAAGUAUGCGAUAAUCGAUCCAUUACUUCUCUAUAAAUUAAUUUACUGUUAUUCUAAAAUAAACUUUGUGUAUGAAACUUCAAUUUUCCAACUUAUUUGGACUUGCAUAAGAUUUAGAAACAUAAUCUUUAGGUUCAAGUCAAUCAUAUCAAUACUGUCAAACAUUGAAUGUCAACAAUAAAAACAAAAUAGUUUGUAUAACCUCAUAUAUUUCUUAUUCAAACAUAUUUUAUCUAAAUGUGACAAAAUACUUUUAUGCAAUUGUAAAAAUCAGUAAUAAUUUGCAAUCAUUUUCUUAUAUCACAAAAACAUUUUUAGAUAUUAUUUCAAAAACAUUCCAAAAAACUAAAAUUCAUACACUAACAAAAAUAUAAUAAAUACAAAAUUCGUGCAACGCACAUAACAACGACUAGUAGUUAUAAAAUGGAAGAGCAAAUUGGAAUUUUGAGAUUUUUAAAUAAUUAAAAUUUCAUUUAGUUUUAAAAAUUGAUCAAAUGCUUUUGAACAAAAUGAUAUUGAGGAAUGGCCAUCUCAACUAAUUCUCCUUAUACUAAACAAUAAAAGAAUACGAUUGAGUGCAGCAAGUAAACAACUACCACUCUUCAUUGAUGUGAUUGUUCAAGUAAAGACUAUUAAAUAAAAUUCUUCGUUUUGUGCUCAAGAAAAUCAUCUUUUACAAUAUAAAUUUGCGUUAAUUAAUAUACUAAUUUCAAAUAUUAAGUAACUUAGUACUUAUCUAUUUUUAUAUGCUAAAAUACUAUUCUAUUGUUUUUAUUUAAUAAUUCAAAUGUCAAAGCAUUGUAAUACAAAUAAUUAUUAAAGAAAAUUAAUUUUUCCUACCCUAGUCAUACAUUUUCGAGAGAGAGAAAAAAAUUUACUCACAAAUUCGCUUCUCAAAAAAUCAAAAUCAAGCAAUGCAAUUCUCAUGUCUUAUUUUUUUAUGGGUAUAAAUAUUAGACUCUUCGUUCUGUUAGAAUUAAAAAUGACAAAAAAAAAAAAUGAAACGAGAAGAAGUUUUAGAAGAUCAGAGAAUCAUGUGAAUGGCAUAACGAAGGGUGGACACGUAAAACCCAAGUGUCUCGAGUAAAAUAAUAACCAGACAAAAAGAGCAUGUGCGAAUACACAUGGACAUGCUAUUUGACUAAAGAAACUAGUGAAAAAUCAAUAGCAACCAAACAUGGCCAACAUGAUUAUCACCAACCCACAUAUUAAAAUAAAAAAAGAAAAGAAAAAUAGAGAGAGAAUAUACUCUUGGAUCUCUAUUAAAAAAAAAAAAAAAUCACUAUUUGUCCAUUCUUAAAAACAUAUCAUAAUACAUCAAGUAUAUUACAAGUUUAACUCCAUUAUAUCUUCAUUUGACAACUAAUACAAAGCUCGUGUCUUAACUCAAUUAGAUAUUCUAGCACGCAACAUCUUCUAAGUUCUUUUGCUCUAUUUUUAUAUACAUAUCCUUCAACAACCCUUAUCAAUAUCAAUUUCUUCAAUUUUAAGAAUAUCAAUGUCCUUUUUCUACAAAAGUAAAAUAUUGUUUUUUUAACUAUUUUAAAGCACAAAUUGAAUAAUAUAUUAUAUAUUAGUUCUAUUAGAUACUCCAAGGUGCAAAGUCCUCUAUACUCUUUUACUGAACUUUCUCUAUAAAUCCUUCAGCAAUCCAUAACAAUAUUAAUUUCUAUGGACUCAAGAAAAUUAAUAGAAGUUUCCUGCAAAAACAAAAUAAUCAUAAUCAACUUUUAGAAUACAUAACGAGAUUAAGAUUUAAUUUUAAUUACAAUAAUGAGUCAAGACUUGUUCUCAACAAAAUCUUCGAGUAUACAAUCGAACACCUCAAACAAUGUGGAAUCACACUCCAAUUUGUGCAAAUAUGAACCACACAAAACAUCAUUACCAAAUCAACAACUUUUGCCCCCAAAGGAAGUCUUUCCCAUAAAGUAAUUAUAGGUUAAUUCUAAACAAAGAAAUUUUUGGAUCUAUAAUCUAUAUAUUUGUUUAUAACUAAAACAUAGCUCAUUCUAGAAAUAGCUCAUUCUAGAAAUAAGAGCUAACUAGUCACUACCAACGUAUUAAACAUUAAAAUAAUGCAAUGAUUUUACAAAAAACAAUUAAUAUCAUAUUCAGGAAGUCUAACCAUGACAUUUGCCAGAACCUAUUUUCAAAAGAAUAACAAAUAAAUAGUUCUACUAGCUCAUUAAAAGAAUUUUCCAAAUUUGUAUAUAUAGGAUCCAUACCUUGCAAAUUGAGUAACUGAGAAAUAACUUUUCCUAUGCCUCCCAUGCCAAGAUCACGAUUUCUUCCAGCUAUAUCGUUUUUUGCAACUCCAACUUUCAUAACAGUUUCCAAGUGGAGCACCAGGUGAGUCAUCUCUACACAAGACUUCCCUUCCAAAUUUAGUAAAUUGCCAAGCCUCUUGAAAACGAAGAACUCUAGCACCAUUUUCUUCUGGCAAAGACAAAAGAAUGGAACAAAAUUAGACCUGAAUCUGACUUCUCUUUCCAAGUUGUCAACAAAUUUUCAUUGAGAUCGACUGUACAUCUUUCCAAUGAACAUAUUGCGGUUUUGAGGAUAUACUCAUUUCAUUAACAUUAAAACCAAUAAAAUCAACUUAUUAAUUGAGUCCCAUUUUCUUUAUGACUUGACCAAACAGGUUUCAAUUGGGAAUUUUUUAUUGCAGUUUCUUCAAAUUAAGGACAGAUCCAAGCUCUAUUUAUCCCAAAAAAAAAAAUGAAAAUGAAAACAUAAAACAUACGAAUAUAAAUCAAAAUUUCUCUCCUCUGUUCACUAAUACAAAAGAAAU